rnacentral:ncRNA from 1 species
UUGCGCGCUGGGGAUGGCAUUCUCCACAUGCUCCAUUCGCCGCCCUUGAUGGCUGGUGAUGCCUGCUUCGCC